AAUGAACGCUGGCGGCAUGCCUUACGCAUGCAAGUCGAACGGCAGCAUGACCUAGCUUGCUAGGUUGAUGGCGAGUGGCGAACGGGUGAGUAAUGCAUCGGAACGUGCCUUUUAGUGGGGGAUAACGUAGCGAAAGUUACGCUAAUACCGCAUAUUCUCUGAGGAGGAAAGCAGGGGGCCUUCGGGCCUUGCGCUAGAAGAGCGGCCGAUGUCGGAUUAGCUAGUUGGUGAGGUAAAGGCUCACCAAGGCAACGAUCCGUAGCGGGUCUGAGAGGAUGAUCCGCCACACUGGGACUGAGACACGGCCCAGACUCCUACGGGAGGCAGCAGUGGGGAAUUUUGGACAAUGGGCGCAAGCCUGAUCCAGCCAUGCCGCGUGAGUGAAGAAGGCCUUCGGGUUGUAAAGCUCUUUCGGCUGGGAAGAAAUCGCACUCUCUAAUACAGGGUGUGGAUGACGGUACCAGCAUAAGAAGCACCGGCUAACUACGUG
rnacentral:rRNA from 1 species